rnacentral:rRNA from 1 species
CUCGAGUGGCGAACGGGUGAGUAACACGUGGGUGAUCUGCCCUGCACUUUGGGAUAAGCCUGGGAAACUGGGUCUAAUACCGAAUAGGAUCAUGCUCUUCAUGGGGUGUGGUGGAAAGCUUUUGCGGUGUGGGAUGGGCCCGCGGCCUAUCAGCUUGUUGGUGGGGUAAUGGCCUACCAAGGCGACGACGGGUAGCCGGCCUGAGAGGGUGACCGGCCACACUGGGACUGAGAUACGGCCCAGACUCCUACGGGAGGCAGCAGUGGGGAAUAUUGCACAAUGGGCGCAAGCCUGAUGCAGCGACGCCGCGUGAGGGAUGACGGCCUUCGGGUUGUAAACCUCUUUCACCAGGGACGAAGCGUAAGUGACGGUACCUGGAGAAGAAGCACCGGCCAACUACGUGCCAGCAGCCGCGGUAAUACGUAGGGUGCGAGCGUUGUCCGGAAUUACUGGGCGUAAAGAGCUCGUAGGUGGUUUGUCGCGUUGUUCGUGAAAACUCACAACUCAAUUGUGGGCGUGCGGGCGAUACGGGCAGACUAGAGUACUGCAGGGGAGACUGGAAUUCCUGGUGUAGCGGUGGAAUGCGCAGAUAUCAGGAGG